CCCUCUUCAUUCUUCCCAUAGAAUCCUAGGAGAAUGGGUAAGCAAGAAUUUUUUGUUCCCACUGGAGUGGACUCUGAACGUGGGAGGACUUUCUAUGAUUUUAUCUGGAAAGGAACUGUGGUGGGGCCAUAUGGUCUUUUAAUUUGGAAAAAUCUUAUAUUUUCCAGUGUGCUUGCCAUAAGUCAGAGAGGGUUUGGGCUCAUGGCAAAGAUGGGUGGGUGGAAAAGCUGGUUUUUGUUUGGUUUGUUUUUUUUUCUUUAAAAUUAGAUUUCUCUAGUUUGAUCUCUGACACACAAUGUUUAACUCUGUUGUUUGAGAUUUUGACACUAAAACCUUGCCACUAAAACCCUGAAAAGAAAGGGACCUUCUUCCCCAUUGUAAGGCUGGUGGUGUUUGGGAUAUCCUGCUGGGCUUCUGAAGAGAUGUGAUGACAGAUACCCUGUGACAGACGUAAAAACCAGCUCUGGAAUCUGAACAGCAAAUCAAGCAUAUGAGCAAAAGCUAUGCUGACUUGUGUGUGUCUUCGUCGUGGCCUACCAGUUUCAAAACAGGCUGUGGGUUAAUUCAUUGGGACUACCUUGGGGAUAGAAAUAUUUGGAAGCACUGGAAUUCCUGUUUCCCCAAGUGUGAGUGGAUGUUAUCUGUCCAUGUCUGACCGUGUCUUUGAUAUCCUCAGAGGAAGUUCUGGUUCCUCAAAGCCUGGUCUGUUGCUUUAGGUAAGUUCAGGUGUCACAGGAGAACAGAAGACUGGACACUGAGAUUUCACAAGAAGAUUUU